UACGAAGGGGACUAGCGUUGUUCGGAAUUACUGGGCGUAAAGCGCGCGUAGGCGGAUCGCUAAGUCAGGGGUGAAAUCCCAGGGCUCAACCCUGGAACUGCCUUUGAUACUGACGAUCUGGAGAUCGGGAGAGGUUGGUGGAAUUCCGAGUGUAGAGGUGAAAUUCGUAGAUAUUCGGAGGAACACCAGAAGCGAAGGCGGCCAACUGGCACGAUACUGACGCUGAGGCGCGAAAGCGUGGGGAGCAAACAGG
rnacentral:rRNA from 1 species